AACGCACGAGACCUGCGGACCUGCGGAGGGAUCAUUAGUGAACGCCCUCACGGGCUUAUAACUAUUCCAAACCUCUGUGAAUCGUGCCCUUCGGGGCUAUUUUACAAACAUGGUGUAAUGAACGUCAUAUAUCAUAACAAAACAAAACUUUUAACAACGGAUCUCU
rnacentral:misc_RNA from 1 species